GUGAAUCAUCGAAUUUUUGAACGCAAAUUGCACUCUCCUCGAAGAGUAUGCCUGUUUGAGGGUCAGCCUAUAAAAAAUCGACAUCGUUGCUGUUUCGCGGUGGCGUUCGUCGGAAAUUGGGUCAUCUUAAAUCCUUUUGGUUUUUAGUCGCCUUAAAAUUUUCUUUUUGGUUCCAUGAACGUUUCUAAGAUUUAUUUCUUUACACGUUUAAGCUAUCGAUUUUUAUUAGCCGUAACCUUCAUAUCGAUUCGCGUCCAUAAUCUUUCAUUAAAUGACCUAAGG
rnacentral:misc_RNA from 1 species